GUGAAAUAUGCCAGCAAAUGAGUCUUGUCGGGUAAGCAAAGUCGGGUGAUGUUCAGCAAAUUGUGGAAAAAUUCUCUCCGGCCAGUGAGAUGAACUUGGUGUGUUGGGAGAGGUGAAACACCUCUUGCGUGCGUUCCACUUAGUGCGCCCAGUCUGCGUUCCACGGUUGCUCGGUAGCUGAAUACAAUAUACGGCAAUUGAAGAAAAAUGCCUUACGCGUUUCGUGACAGUUCACAGUCACUUCUUCAGAGGCGGAUCAGACGUAAGAUAGAAGAUAGAGGUAAGUCUUCAGCAGAUUGUAAGGGCUAGACGGGACAUACUUGUGUAUAAACUAGGAUAGAUCGGUGGGAACAGCAUUAUGCAGAGAUUUGAAAGCAAGAACCAGAAUUUUAAAUUGAGCUCUAUAUUUUAUAGGAAGCCAAUGUAGGGACUGACAGAAGGGUGAGGCAUGGGAGGUGCGGGCGGACAGGAAGAUGAGCAUCGCUGCCGCAUUCAUUAUGGACUGUAACGGCGCAAGUUGGGAGCACGUAAGACCACUGAGAAGCGGAUUACAGUAGUCAAGGCGAGAAAGGACAGUGCAUGCUCGUCCUCUUCAUUGGGGUCUCGACCUGACUGCAGUUCGACUUGAGUGGGCAAAUUAUCACAUUCGAUGGCGUCUGACUCUUUGAAAAGGUAAAUACAAAUAUAGAAAAAAGUGCAAAUUCUUUCAUUACAUCACAAAAAAUAGACAGUGAAUGAUUUAA